rnacentral:rRNA from 1 species
GACGAACGCUGGCGGCGUGCUUAACACAUGCAAGUCGAGCGACUGCAUUCUUUUCGGAGGGUGUAUGGAGCGGCGAACGGGUGAGUAACACGUGAGUAACCUGCCUUUGGCUUGGGAAUAACUUCGGGAAAUCGGGGCUAAUGCCUGAUGUUUACUGUCUGCUGCAUGGUGGGUGGUGGAAAGAUUUUUUUGGCCAGGGAUGAGCUCGCGGUCUAUCAGCUUGUUGGGGGGUAAUGGCUUACCAAGGCUUUGACGGGUAGCCGGCCUGAGAGGGUGUUCGGCCACACUGGGACUGAGACACGGCCCAGACUCCUACGGGAGGCAGCAGUGGGGAAUAUUGCGCAAUGGGCGUAAGCCUGACGCAGCGACGCCGCGUGGGGAUGAAGGCCUCGG